UGCCUGAAAGUGACAACCUUUUCUCCUUAGCGACAGAGAGUUCAGGUUGAAGGAAGUUCACCAAAUGUGAUGAAAGAGGAAAGGAAACUAAAAGUGAUGUCCUACUCAGUGCUGGAUGAUUCUCACAGGUUUUCUUUCUCUGAGGCUUGAAUUAAGGGUGCUCUGAACAGUACUCUUUGUGUCCAGUGGAUUGGACAUGGAGAACUGCUCUGUUAUUUCAGGGCUCGGGAGAAGUGAAGACUCUUGCCAAGCAAGGGCAGCAUGUGCAGAAGAGCCAGGCUCCAACCCAACACACCCUGCCUCCCACAGCCACCCAAGGCUCCACACCCUCAGACCACCUGCCAUGUUCACGCUGGAGAAAACAACUCAGAGAGCAACUUAUGUUGGAAUCUGGUGGAAUCCAGUGAUCCUAGGCCUAAGGUGCUCAUAAAGAGAAGGCUGAGGGGAGACAGAUCCCAUCUGGGGUGCUAGGGGAAGAAUGUAGCAGGGGCCAGCCCCUAUGUUGUCAGCAAAGGUAUUAUGACCAGGUGGCACUAGUGUCAUCUAACUUCAGGCAGGACCUUGGACCUUUCUGAGCCUUAUUUUCCUUCUCUGUAAAAUGAGGAUGAUACUACUCAUGUUGCAGGACUGGGAGAGGUUUGGAAACAAUACCACAACUGAGAGCACCAAGCCUGCGAUGGGCGAGUCGCUGCCCCAGCCCCCUCGCGCCUGCCGGCGAGGAGACUUGCAGUGAGCCGGUGAAUGGAGAGGCACCCUCAUGCAGACUCUGGGAGAAGUUCUAUCUCUCUUGGAUGGGCCCCAAGCCUGGUUUUGCAUGGGUCAGCUCGACUCCAAGGAGCCUCGAACAAGGGGCUGGCGCAGAGGAGAGUGCGCACACCCAGGCGCGCACACACCAAAUGCAGCUUCUUUUAUUUUUUUUGUUUGUGUGUGUGGCUUUUUUCCCUUCCGUGUUGGCUCUGAGUGAACUAGAACAACAUCGCCAGCUCCAAGCCCUGCCAGUCCUACAUCUGCUCCCUAAAACCUCCAGCAAAUAAGAAUACGGUGGGGUUGUUUAACCAACACUUACAAUAUACACACUUUUCAGCGUU